rnacentral:lncRNA from 1 species
GGGGCUUUGGGUGUGCUGGGCCCCAAGCCCCCCGUGCGAACCUCGGGGCCUGAGUCGGGACCGGGCGGAGGCUUUGGCCGCUGGGUGGUGGAACAGCGCUGCCCUCGCUGGUGACACUGAGACUUCCCUCUUCUCUGCAUUUCCUCGAAGCUGCCAGAGUGGGACUGGAUGGCUCGAGUUCACAGGUCUGGUGUGCAUAUUACACUUGAAACACAUCUCAAACAGAAGAGCCACACUGCAAGAGACCUUGGCAUGUGGCUGGUGGCUGCUGUGCUGUGAAGUACGACUCUGAGCACCUCCUUGUCUCAGAGGACAAGGGAACCCGGAGCUGUGUGACCCUCUGAAAUUCUUCAUCCCUCUUCUUGCUUAUAUACCCUGUCUGGAGGAAAUAAAAGCUAAUCUAAG